AACGAACGCUGGCGGCAUGCCUAACACAUGCAAGUCGAACGAGACCUUCGGGUCUAGUGGCGCACGGGUGCGUAACGCGUGGGGACCUGCCCUUAGGUUCGGAAUAACUCCCCGAAAGGGGUGCUAAUACCGGAUAAUGUCUUCGGACCAAAGAUUUAUCGCCUUUGGAUGGGCCCGCGUUGGAUUAGCUAGUUGGUAGGGUAAAAGCCUACCAAGGCGACGAUCCAUAGCUGGUCUGAGAGGAUGAUCAGCCACACUGGGACUGAGACACGGCCCAGACUCCUACGGGAGGCAGCAGUGGGGAAUAUUGGACAAUGGGCGGAAGCCUGAUCCAGCAAUGCCGCGUGAGUGAUGAAGGCCUUAGGGUUGUAAAGCUCUUUUACCCGGGAUGAUAAUGACAGUACCGGGAGAAUAAGCGCCGGCUAACUCCGUG
rnacentral:rRNA from 1 species